GACGAACGCUGGCGGCGUGCCUAAUACAUGCAAGUCGAACGCAGUGGGGACGGGUGAGUAACACGUGGGUAACCUCCCAUCAGUGGGGAUAACACUUGGAAACAGGUGCUAAACCGAUACUGAUGGAUGGACCCGCGGUGCAUUGGCUAUGUGGUGCGGUAACGGCUCACCAAGGCCACGAUGCAUAGCGCACCUGAGAGGUGGAUCGGCCACACGGGGACGAAGACCAGGCCCAGACUCCUACGGGAGGCAGCAGUGGGGAAUAUUGCACAAUGGGCGCAAACCUGAUGCAGCCAUGCCGCGUGUAUGAAGAAGGCCUUAGGGUUGUAAAGUACUUUCAGCGGUGAGGCGUUACCCGCCGAAGAAGCACCGGCUAACUCCGUGCCAGCAGCCGCGGUAAUUC
rnacentral:rRNA from 1 species